rnacentral:rRNA from 1 species
AGCUCCAAUAGCGUAUAUUAAAGUUGUUGCAGUUAAAAAGCUCGUAGUUGGAUUUGUGGUGUAUGCCGGCGGCCUGGUACUUAGUAUCGGAGCUUGCUUGCGUCGCCAUCCUUGGGUGGAUCCUGUGUGGCAUUAAGUUGUCGUGCAGGGGAUGCCCAUCGUUUACUGUGAAAAAAUUAGAGUGUUCAAAGCAGGCUUAUGCCGUUGAAUAUAUUAGCAUGGAAUAAUAAGAUAGGACCUUGGUACUAUUUUGUUGGUUUGCGCACCAAGGUAAUGAUUAAUAGGGACAGUUGGGGGUAUUCGUAUUCCAUUGUCAGAGGUGAAAUUCUUGGAUUUUUGGAAGACGAACUACUGCGAAAGCAUUUACCAAGGAUGUUUUCAUUAAUCAAGAACGAAAGUA